UUGCGGUGCAGUGUUAAAAUUGUUGCGCUUCUCCGCCGAAAGGCUUAAUACAGCAGCGUGUCCCUCUUUAAACGUUACAGUGCAAUUUGGUUGGCGUUAAUUAAAAGUGUCCAGCCCGGAAUAACGUUCGACGGUGAUCAGUCGCCCGCAGCCAAAAGAUAACGGAACAUCCGGAACAUUGGGACAGCGAACGGGGAAGAGCCGUGAGAAACGACCAACCCCGCCAAGAAAAGAUAGCUCGACCGCGUGUGCGUGUGCCGAAACCGGAGAAGGGUGACUAGCUCCAGCCGCGGACCCACAGAACCGAACGAUUCGUGCGCGUGUGCAGUUGCGUGAUCAGUUCGUUUCCAGCAGUGCCGGGACGGGUUUGUGUGCCCACUGAUAAGUGAACUCCCCAAUCAAUCAGAGCAGCACAGAGUGGACGUUUGAGAGUGUUUCAGGUGCUUGAC